rnacentral:rRNA from 1 species
UAAGGAACAUGACCUUCGGCGGGGGAUAGCCGGCCCCGAACGGCCGGGUAAUACCGCGUACGACCACUUUGGGACAUCCCUCGGUGGUGAAAGCAGCAAUGCGCCGAAAGAGUGCCUCGCGGCCUAUCAGCUAGUUGGUGGGGUAAUGGCUCACCAAGGCAACGACGGGUAGCUGGUCUGAGAGGACGACCAGCCACACUGGAACUGAGAUACGGUCCAGACUCCUACGGGAGGCAGNAGUAGGGG